rnacentral:rRNA from 1 species
GGGAUUGCCCUAGUAACGGCGAGUGAAGCGGCAACAGCUCAAAUUUGAAAUCUGGCGCAAGCCCGAGUUGUAAUUUGUAGAGGAUGCUUCUGGGUAGCGGCCGGUCUAAGUUCCUUGGAACAGGACGUCACAGAGGGUGAGAAUCCCGUAUGUGAUCGGCCCGCGCCCUCUACGUAGCUCCUUCGACGAGUCGAGUUGUUUGGGAAUGCAGCUCUAAAUGGGAGGUAAAUUUCUUCUAAAGCUAAAUACCGGCCAGAGACCGAUAGCGCACAAGUAGAGUGAUCGAAAGAUGAAAAGCACUUUGGAAAGAGAGUUAAACAGCACGUGAAAUUGUUGAAAGGGAAGCGCUUGCAACCAGACUUGACGGCGGUGUUCCCCCGGGCUUCUGCCCGGGUUAUUCACCGUCGGCAGGCCAUCAUCGUCUGGGGCCGCCGGAGAAACCGCCAGGAAUGUAGCUCCCUCGGGAGUGUUAUAGCCUGGCGACAUGCGGCGUGCCCCGGGCGAGGUCCGCGCUCUGCAAGGAUGAUGGCGUAAUGGUUGUCAGCGGCCCGUCUUGAAACACGGACCAAGGAGUCUAACAUCUAUGCGAGUGUUCGGGUGUCAAACCCCUACGCGUAAUGAAAGUGAACGGAGGUGGGAGCUUCGGCGCACCAUCGACCGAUCCUGAUGUCCUCGGAUGGAUUUGAGUAAGAGCAUAGCUGUUGGGACCCGAAAGAUGG